rnacentral:tRNA from 1 species
UUAAUUGAAACCAAAUAGAGGUAUAUCACUGUUAAUGAUAUCAUUGGAGAAUCGCGCCCAAUUAAA